rnacentral:misc_RNA from 1 species
AAAGAUGGCUGCGCCCUGAUGAAACGUGACUUUUAGCUGACACCGACAACUCUCAAAGUUAGCUGAAAGCAUAGUUGAUGUUGUACCAUGUCUUCUUUUCAAAAGGACAGAACGAAACCAAAACACAGCGGUGGCCAGCAAAUAAUAGAUGAAGAAGCAGAAAGAAGAAAGAAAAUUGAACAAGAUGUCCGAAGACGCCAAGAAUGUGAGAAAAAAGCUUUCAAAAUAGUGGAGAAAUUGCUAGAAAAUCCUGUUACUGAAGACACACUACUACAGGAUGCUCUACACAUAUGUCCGAAUCACUACGACGAUAUUAUAGAGGAGCGAGCCAUAGCUAAGUUAUGUGGCUAUCCCAUCUGCCCAAACUCCCUAGGACACAUUCCAAAGCAGAAGUACCACAUUUCUACGAGGAGUAACAAAGUAUAUGACAUCACUACCAGAAAGAAUUUUUGCAGCAACCAGUGUUUCACGGCCUCUCAGUACUUAAGGCGACAGCUGUUGACUGCUCCUCUUUGGAGUCGGAAACAUGUGAAUGACAAACCGUUCAAACUCCUUCCACAGGAAGCCACAAGUGGGUUAGAAGGAGAUGAAGUGAUUUCUAUACAAUCAGAGUUGAGACAAGAAGUGCAGUCACUGGAAAGGCUGGAGAAGUAUGAGGCGAAAAGCAAGGAUAAGUCAGCAAACAGGGGUCCUAAUAACCCGGACAUGUUGAAUUUACAGUCCCUUAAAAUAGCAGAUAGCAACACUUCCUCCAACCAAGACAGAAGUGUGUCAGUCACACAGUCACAUUCCAAAAGUACUCAUCAGGAAGACAAUCUUAUAGAUAAUGCUGAGAAAGGUGAAACAAAAUCUAAAAACAAAGGUGACUCAACAGUAAUUAACCCUAAUCAGAAUUCUGAGACAAAAACAGAAUCUGGACACCAUGGUGACACAAUGAAUGCUGAAGCAAAGAUGAAACAUCUUCAGACUUUGUUGAACAAACGAAAACAUUUGCUUGGUCAAUUGGCAGAUAUUCAGCCAUUGAAAGUGGAGAUGUCCAAUACAAAACUAUCACAUGAUUCAGAUGAUGAUGAUGAAGAGUCUGAAUCAGGAAAAGGUCAGCCUAGAGUCACAAAACUUACUAAAGACUCUGAAAAUAAUAUUGAUCCUGCAUCAGCAAAUGUUGUGUGUGACAAUGUGAAACCUCCAGAUUCUGGUAUGUGUCAGGAUCCUGAAUUGCAGGGAAAUGUCAGUAGAACAAGACCUGCUAUGAUAAAACCACAAGUACUUCCUGCUGAGGUGUCACAGUCAACAACCUUCAUACAACAACAGAGACUAAAAAAUCCUAAAACCCCCGUAACACCGUCCAAAUCUGUGAUAAUGAUUCUGUGUCAGACAAUGAAACAGUGGGUCACCAAGGAAACCAUAGACUUUUUAUCACCACAGGAAUCAGACACUCCACAAGAUAGAAUUGACCACAUAGGAUUCCAGUCGAAAUAUGAACAAUUAUGUCGGCGAAUAGGUAACAGUGAAAAUGACCUUGAUGAUCUCAUAGGAGAAUCCAAAAUGGAGGAUUCAUCUAUUCCACAGAAAACAGUUCCAGAUUACAGAAUACUGAAGGAAGAAACAGAAGAAUUUGGCAACAAGGUGGCACACUACCUACAGGGCAAGACCAGUGCAGCAUUGGUCGUGAAGGAAAAGGACGUCCAGGAGCAGUCAGAAGUCCACCUCCCUACAGUGGACAGUCAUGAUCAAAUGCUGAUUAGAAAGAAAAUUGUUAUGGAAAAAAUUAACAGGGUAAUGCAUGAAAUUCUGACUCCACUGAAGCUGUCCAUGCAGGAAGUGUUUUCAGAAUUAAGACAACUGGUGUCAACAUUCAGACUCGGAAGUCAGAACAUCAUCUUUAGACCAGCAGAGUGGACAUUGGUCAGUCUCAUCCUUUUCAAAAUGUUGGCAAGAAGACAACAUUACAUUGCAGAAGCCUUUAAGGAGGAGAGUGCAGUACGUUACUUUAAUAUUCUCCUCCGUCCUAUCCAUGAGUCGGAGACUGCAGUUGACCAGCAUGUCUCACAAGUCAUCUUCUCUUGACGCCAUUACUAUUUUCCUUUUUACUCCGCAAAAAAGACUGAUUUAUACAGAAAGAAAACCAUAAAGCAAUUUUAGGAUUGUUUAUUGUAAAACAAAAAGGAAAUUUCUGCAUUACCCAUGACAGAAAUUAAUGCUGAAUAUAUGUGUUGUGCAUCAUCCGUUAAAAUUACAACCUGGACUUGGACUUCAAAACCAUUGAAUUGGUCUCUAUAUUAUGGACAAAGACAAACGGCUUGAGGGACAGUGCUAAAAGGGGUUGAAUUGGCUAAUAUUUCAACAGUAUUCUCCUUCAGACCCAGUUACGUUAGAAUCAAGUACUCUCAUAGAUUUCGGUGGAAGGCCUAUCCUUUUGUUGCUUAUUCAUUGAUAAAUAUAUAAUAGAGAUUUAUUGGAAUCGAUAAAAACAAACGUGUGACUUCAGUAUGUUACAUUAUUUAUUGAUAAUACUCAGAGAAAAAACAAAACGUGAUUUUACAUAUCCCCGAAUAUAUAUACAUGUAUAACAUGUGACAGAAAGUGAUGGUCCAUAAAACAAGUAUUCCGCUACCAGGUAUAGGUAAAAUCUCAACCGUAUUGGUACUACCAGGUAUAUAUAAAAUCUCUAUCAUAUUGGUACUACCAGGUAUAUAUAAAAUCUAUCGUAUUGGUAUUACCAGGUAUAGAUAAAAUCUCAACCGUAUUGGUACUACCAGGUAUAUAUAAAAUCUCUAUCAUAUUGGUACUACCAGGUAUCUAUAAAAUCUAUCGUAUUGGUAUUACCAGGUAUAGAUAAACUCUCAACCGUAUUGGUACUACCAGGUAUAUAUAAAAUCUCUAUCAUAUUGGUACUACCAGGUAUAUAUAAAAUCUCUAUCGUAUUGGUACUACCAGGUAUAGAUAAAAUCUCAAUCGUAUUGGUACUACCAGGUAUAGAUAAAAACUCAACUGUAUUGGUACUACCAGGUAUAUAUAAAAUCUCUAUCGUAUUGGUACUACCAGGUAUAGAUAAAAUCUCAACCGUAUUGGUACAACCAGGUAUAGAUAAAAUCUCAACCGUAUUGGUACUACCAG